rnacentral:rRNA from 1 species
UACGUAGGGUGCAAGCGUUAAUCGGAAUUACUGGGCGUAAAGCGUGCGCAGGCGGUUUUGUAAGUCUGUCGUGAAAUCCCCCGGGCUCAACCUGGGAAUUGCGAUGGAGACUGCAAGGCUAGAAUCUGGCAGAGGGGGGUAGAAUUCCACGUGUAGCAGUGAAAUGCGUAGAGAUGUGGAGGAACACCGAUGGCGAAGGCAGCCCCCUGGGUCAAGAUUGACGCUCAUGCACGAAAGCGUGGGGAGCAAAAGGG